rnacentral:rRNA from 1 species
UCAGGAUGAACGCUAGCGACAGGCCUAACACAUGCAAGUCGAGGGGCAGCGCGGGAGAAGCUUGCUUUCCUGGCGGCGACCGGCGCACGGGUGCGUAACAGGUGUGCAAUCUGUCCAUAGUCGGGGGAUAGCCCAGCGAAAGCUGAAUUAAUACUCCAUGUGAAUCGAAGCCGCAUGACUUUGAUUUGAAACGCAAGGACUAUGGGUGAGCACGCUUCUGAUUAGGUAGUUGGUGGGGUAACGGCCCACCAAGCCGACGAUCAGUAGGGGUUCUGAGAGGAAGGUCCCCCACAUUGGAACUGAGACACGGUCCAAACUCCUACGGGAGGCAGCAGUGAGGAAUAUUGGUCAAUGGGCGAGAGCCUGAACCAGCCAAGUCGCGUGAAAAGGAUGAAGGUUCUAUGGAUUGUAAACUUCUUUUGUCCGAGGGUAAAAAAGGCCACGUGUGGCUUCUUGCAAGUAUCGGACGAAUAAGCAUCGGCUAACUCAGUGCCAGCAGCGGC